rnacentral:rRNA from 1 species
UACGUAGGUGGCAAGCGUUGUCCGGAAUUAUUGGGCGUAAAGCGCGCGCAGGCGGUCCCUUAAGUCUGAUGUGAAAGCCCACGGCUCAACCGUGGAGGGUCAUUGGAAACUGGGGGACUUGAGUGCAGAAGAGAAGAGUGGAAUUCCACGUGUAGCGGUGAAAUGCGUAGAGAUGUGGAGGAACACCAGUGGCGAAGGCGACUCUUUGGUCUGUAACUGACGCUGAGGCGCGAAAGCGUGGGGAGCAAACAGGAUUAGAUACCCCCGUAGUCC